UCAUGCCCUAGACUUGGUUCACCGCCGCUCUAGCGAGUUGGUCUUCAACCAAAGGCAAAACUCCAAGCUCUAGUGGCUUCACCAUGACCUAUGCCUCACCAUCGGAUCUUCCUGCUUCACCACUAGCUGUCGACAGAGAGAAAACAAGAAGGUAUCGGAAUCAGUGUAGCUCCGGCCAAGAAUUUGCGACAGUAGGUAUUUUCAGCUAGCAAUUUCCAGCAGCAACCUCCCUGCUGUGAGGAUUGAGCAAUUUAUCUUUGCUGG